AGAGUCUUGAAGAACUCUGGGACGGUGAGAUAUGAGA
rnacentral:sRNA from 1 species